CGCCGCGGGCCUGCGCCAUUGAGGAGCGGCGGGGAGGAAGCGCCGCGCAGCGCCGGGCUGGGGCGGGCGGCCCGGGACACCGACAGAUUUUUCUGUGACCAUGAAAGAGAGAAAUAAAGAAUGAUCCAUGAUUUCUAAACACCUUUUCCUGAGGAUACAGUCAUGUUGGAAGGCCUUGUAGCCUGGGUUCUCAAUACCUAUUUGGGGAAAUAUGUCAAUAACCUGAACACCGACCAGCUCUCAGUUGCACUUCUCAAAGGUGAGUAUUUCUCUGGGUGAGGUACAGCUUUACAGGUGGCAUUUCUGUUUUUGUAUUUUUUUUUUGUACUGAGAAUCUUAAAACUUAAUGCCCAGAUGGCUUUGUACUAAAUGUGUGUAAAAAGGUCCCAUAUGACCCUGAUGAUUAUUACAGAGUAACUUUAUAGCUAUAUUGUUAUAGAUUUUAAGGAACUAUUAAAUAUAAA